rnacentral:rRNA from 1 species
UACGAAGGGGGCUAGCGUUGUUCGGAAUCACUGGGCGUAAAGGGCGCGUAGGCGGCUUUGUAAGUCGGGGGUGAAAGCCUGUGGCUCAACCACAGAAUUGCCUUCGAUACUGCAUGGCUUGAGACCGGAAGAGGUUAGUGGAACUGCGAGUGUAGAGGUGAAAUUCGUAGAUAUUCGCAAGAACACCAGUGGCGAAGGCGGCUGACUGGUCCGGAACUGACGCUGAGGUGCGAAAGCGUGGGGAGCAAACAGG